UACAGAGGGGGCAAGCGUUGUUCGGAAUUACUGGGCGUAAAGGGCGCGUAGGCGGCCUGUUAAGUCGAACGUGAAAUCCCCGGGCUCAACCCGGGAACUGCAUUUGUGACUGCAUGGCUAGAGUACGGUAGAGGGGGAUGGAAUUCCGCGUGUAGCAGUGAAAUGCGUAGAUAUGCGGAGGAACACCGAUGGCGAAGGCAAUCCCCUGGGCCUGCACUGACGCUCAUGCACGAAAGCGUGGGGAGCAAACAGG
rnacentral:rRNA from 1 species